rnacentral:rRNA from 1 species
AGAGUUUGAUCAUAGCUCAGGAUUAACGUUGGUAGUAUAUCUAACAAAAGCAAGUCGAACGGCAGCACACUGUUUGGGCAACUGAAUAGGGGUGGCGAGUGGCGAAUAGGUGAGUAAUGCUUAUCUAACUUGCCGAUUAGUGGGGAAUAACCAUGGGAAACUAUGGCUAAUACCGCAUUUGUUACUUUUUUGUCAUAAGAAGUAAUAAAAGGGGGUCGCAAGACUCUUGCUAGUCGAGAGGGAUAAGUCGCAUCAGCCGAUGAAAGUAGGGUAAUGGCCUACUGAGGCAAUGACGCGUAGCCGGCCUGAGAGGGUGAUCGGCCACCGAGGAACUGAGACAAAGUCCUCCAUUCCUGUGGGAGUGAGCAUUGGAGAAUCUUCCGCAAUGGACGCAAGUCUGACGGAGUAAUACUACGUGAAGGAGGAAGGUCUACGGAUUGUAAACUUCUGUUAGUGCGGAAAAAGGGCUGAACACGAGUUCAGUCUUGAUGGUACGCACAGAGAAAGCCACGACUAACUACGUGCCAGCGGUCGCGGUAAGACGUAGGUGGCGAACGUUAUCCGGAAUUAUUGGGCGUAAAGGGUGCGUAGAUGGUCGAAUAAGUUAGUAGUGGGAAAUCGAGGCCUAACCUCGUGGAAACUAUUAAUACUAUUCGACUGGAGGAUAGGAGAGGUUGACGGAACUCCAUGUGGAGCGGUAAAAUGCAACGAUAUAUGGAAGAACGCCAAUAACGGCGAAGGCAGUUAACUAUUCUGUUCCUGACAUUGAGGCACGAAAGCGUGGGGAGCGAAAAGGAUUAGAUACCCUUGUAGUCCACGCCCUAAACGAUGAGUGCUAGAUAUUGGACCAAUCGGUUCAGUGUCGCUAGAUAACUCGGUAAGCACUCCGCCUGGGUAGUACGCUCGCAAGAGUAAAACUCAAAGGAAUUGACGGGGACUCGCACAAGCACUGGAGCAUGUGGUUUAAUCCGAUACAACGCUUAGAACCUUACCAAGGCUUGACAUUGGGGGACAAAGUUAUCGAAAGGUAAUAGAGGUUGAACCUGACAGGUGCUGCAUGGCCGUCGUCAGUUCGUGCCGUGAGGUGUAUGGUUAAGUCCUAUAACGAACGCAACCCUUGGGCUUAGUUACCAGCGGGUCAAGCCGGGGACUCUAAGCCGACUGCCUGAGUAAUCAGGAGGAAGGAAAGGAUGACGUCUGGUCGUCAUGGCCCUUAUGCCUUGGGCGACACACGUGCUACAAUGGUUAGCACAAAGCGUUGCCAACCCGCGAGGGGGAGCCAAUCGCAGAAAACUAACCUUAGUUCGAAUUGGAGGCUGCAACUCGCCUCCAUGAAGCCGGAAUUGCUAGUAAUCGCAAAUCAGCCAUGUUGCGGUGAAUACGUUCUCGAGUCUUGUACACACCGCCCGUCAAAUCACGAAAAUCGGUACUAUCUGAAACCAACUUACUAACCCGCAAGGGAUGGAGUUGACUAGGAUAGGAUUGGUAAUUGGGGUUAAGUCGUAACAAGGUA